UGGGCUCGCCAUUGUACGUGGGCGUCUCUGUAGAGGAGAGAGAUCCAAGCUUUGCAGUUGUUCUGGAGGACUGCUACGCCACUCACUCAUCAAACCCUGAUGAUUCCAAGCAAUACCCUCUCAUCCAGAACAAGUGUCCUGCUGACCGCCGACAGGUGUCAGUGGUUGAGAGCGGCUCAUCCCUCCGGGCUCGUUUCUCCGUGCUGUUCUUCCUGCUCCAGAAUGAAUACAGAGACGUUUACCUUCACUGCAGCCUCAGCCUGUGUGACUGGAGGAGCUCCUCUUGUGUUCCACCUUGCACAAGAAGGACCUACCGCUCUGUAUCCAACUCUGAUCCCCUGACUGCCCUCACCAUUGGACCAAUCAUUUGGGACAAGUCACCUGAGUGAGCUGGUAACAUGCAGUAAUAAUUCAAAC